CGUGUAGGCGGAUUGAUAAGUUUGAAGUGAAAUCCUAUAGCUUAACUAUAGAACUGCUUUGAAAACUGUUAAUCUAGAAUGUGGGAGAGGUAGAUGGAAUUUCUGGUGUAGGGGUAAAAUCCGUAGAGAUCAGAAGGAAUACCGAUUGCGAAGGCGAUCUACUGGAACAAUAUUGACGCUGAGACGCGAAAGCGUGGGGAGCAACA
rnacentral:rRNA from 1 species